GCUGCGCACUUCGGUCUUUUACGUCGGCCUUCGCGAGCGUCUGGGCGGGUGGUAGGUGAGUGGGUAUUGCGGGCUAGUAUCCGAGCAAAAGAUGGUGGCGCAGGCCGAGUUAAGAGCUUUAAUCCUGUGAAGACAUCUUAGUGAAGAGUUUAGAGUGCUGAGAGUUGAAAGCUUGCACGUGGGAAACGUGCGGCCGGACUGCCACAUGUACUGAGGUUGAGUCGUGACGGCCACAGGCUCCGAAUUUUGGCGUGAGGAACCGCUGAUCGGCCACGGGCGCCGAACUUGCUGGCCUCCGGCAUGUGCCUGAGCGGCGGCGGAAAAACCACCUUAAUUGGGGCGGAGGGUUAGUUUUAAGAGCAAAGGGCCUUUACUAAAAUGGCGAAGGCCUUCCGUCGGCGUUGUUUUAAAAUGGGAAGCCUCGACCCUGUAUUGAAACUGAGCUGUUCGAAGGCGGCGUUGUGUGCAAUUCGGAUUAAUGAAGGGGAAGGGUUUUGUGUGGAAAAACGCCUUGGAGUGUGACAUUUCUGCGAGAAUGCUUAAAUACCGAUUUCCCGCAGGAACAAUGGCGCUGUCUUAAGUGGCACAGUGGAGCAGCUCUGAAGAUGCAAAGAUACACGAAAAAACUUCCAGAACAUCUGGGAGAAUAUUUAAUGGAAAAUCGCUUGGUUAAAACCUGACACUUUUAACAGGUAUGUGUUGUUUUAGUACUUUAUGAUUGAGCAUAGCAUUUAAUCCACACCUAGACUAAAUCAAAUUUUUUUUGUCAGUGAACAGCGUUCUGAGUGUGGACGAGUAGCCAGUGAAGAUAAUGAAUGUCGAAUGUGACUGACUAGCAGCUUCAUUUUGAAUGAGGGUCGCUGUCUGCCCAUUGAUAGAGGCCAGAUUGUCUUGGAAGUUCCAAAGUUGCAACGAUUUCUUUAGUUGAAUCCAUGGACAUGAAACCCACAGAUAUAGAGGGUUGGCCCGGUGCAGUGGCUCACGCCUGUAAUCCCAGCACUUUGGGAGGCCAAGGCGGGUGGAUCACCUGAGGUCAGAAGCUUGAGACCAGCCUGGCCAACAUGGGUACUGCUUUCUCUUGCUGCAGCUUGCUUCCUCCCUCAGGUAUGAAGUUAAGGUAACAUGAAGGAGGAUAUUGAAUGUUCCUAACACAAAGAAAUGAUAAAUGUUUGAGAUGGUGGAUGUACUAAUUGCCCUGAUCUGAUGACUAUACAUUAUAUAUAUUGAAACAUCAGUAUGUACCCCAUGAAUAUGUACAAUUAUAUGUCAACUUAAACACAUUUAAAAGUAAAAAAAAAAAAAUCCAAAA
rnacentral:sRNA from 1 species